rnacentral:rRNA from 1 species
AUUGAACGCUGGCGGAAUGCUUUACACAAGCAAGUCGAACGGCAGCACGGACUUCGGUCUGGUGGCGAGUGGCGAACGGGUGAGUAAUGUAUCGGAACGUGCCCAGUCGUGGGGGAUAACGUAGUGAAAAUUACGCUAAUACCGCAUACGAUCUAUGGAUGAAAGCGGGGGAUCGCAAGACCUCGCGCGAUUGGAGCGGCCGAUAUCAGAUUAGGUAGUUGGUGGGGUAAAGGCCCACCAAGCCAACGAUCUGUAGCUGAUCUGAGAGGACGACCAGCCACACUGGAACUGAGACACGGUCCAGACUCCUACGGGAGGCAGCAGUGGGGAAUUUUGGACAAUGGGCGAAAGCCUGAUCCAGCCAUUCCGCGUGCAGGAUGAAGGCCCUCGGGUUGUAAACUGCUUUUGUACAGAACGAAAAGGUUUCUACUAAUACUAGGAGCUCAUGACGGUACUGUAAGAAUAAGCACCGGCUAACUACGUGCCAGCCGCCGCAGUAA